CGCAAACACUCCCUUCGGUUUGGGUGGAAGAGUAAAGAUGGCGCCCACCCACGUAUUGAGAUGCUGUCAACGGGGCUUAGCUUGGAUACCUGUGAUUUUUAUCGCCCUAGUCGUAUGUUGGUCUUACUAUGCGUACGUCGUAGAGCUCUGCAUUUUCACCAUCCCCAGCAUAGCAGAAAAGAUCAUCUACAUGGUGUUCUUCCAUCUGUCCUUCGUCAUGUUUGUGUGGUCCUACUGGAAGACCAUCUUCACCAGGCCAGCCAACCCCUCCAAAGAGUUCUGCUUGCCUAAGGCAGAGAAGGAGCAGUAUGUGAAGGAGGAGAGACCAGAGUCGCAGCAGGAGAUCCUGUGGAGGGCUGCCGCUAACCUACCCCUCUACACACGCACCGGGGCUGGAGCGAUCCGCUACUGUGACCGGUGUCAGGUGAUUAAACCAGACCGCUGCCACCACUGUUCUGCCUGCGACAUGUGUGUGCUGAAGAUGGACCAUCACUGCCCCUGGGUGAACAACUGUGUGGGAUUCUCCAACUACAAGUUCUUUAUUCUGUUCCUGUGCUACUCUCUGGUGUACUGUUUGUUCAUUGCAGCCACCGUACUGCAGUAUUUCAUCAAGUUCUGGACACUUUGCCGGAGGAAAUCGGCAGAGAACUGCCCCAAGAAUGAGCUGCCAGACACUCACGCCAAAUUCCAUGUCUUGUUUCUCUUUUUUGUGGCGGCCAUGUUCUGCAUCAGCAUUCUCUCCCUCUUCAGCUACCACCUGUGGCUCGUAGGGAAGAACAGGUCCACCAUAGAGGCAUUCAGGGCUCCAGUGUUCAGGACAGGUUCUGAUAAGAACGGUUUCUCUCUGGGCUUUGGGAAAAACAUCGCCCAGGUGUUUGGAGACGAGAAGAAGUUCUGGCUGCUACCCAUCUUCACCAGUCAGGGUGAUGGACUGACGUUCCCAUCACGGCUUGUCAACAUUGACCCAGAACAGCCCACAGUCAGCUUGCAGCCGGAGGCCAAUAAAAGUAUUGAAGACGCCCCGGCCAGUCCUCUCAGCGAGUCUCAGAACCAUCUCCUUGGCAACGAGCAGCAUGCCAACAACGUCACAGAACACCUGGAGAAUGACAACCUCUGACGUCUGUGUUACAGCUGGGAGUGAGACCAUCACAAUCAUAAUGGAGAGGGAGUCAUAGCAAGGAGAAGAAACCAGCCAUCUAAUAUGAUGCCUUAAGUAUACCACCAUUUUUUUUUUUGGCACCAUGGAAACAGACUCCCAACGCGUCCCUGUAGUUCCGAAAAUGUCACACUCAGCAUAACCAUGGAAACGGACUCCUUUCACGCAUCACCAUAGAUAUAGCCUUGUUUUUAAUCAUCAGAAAGUUACACACACACAACUAUUUAUGCAGUUGCACAGAAGAACCACGCACAGCCUACUGUAAACAUAUUUUUUAUUUUAGUUGACUGUGACCCGAUUGUCCACCCAGGACUGUUAAUGGAUCUCAGCAUCACUUGAUGAUGGCAGGAAUAGUAAUCAGUCUUCACGCUUCAGAGUUGAGAAUGCCUGUGCCAAAAGCUAACAGACUGGGUGUUAAAUGGACCACGGCUGAGGAAGUAGCUGGACUGGGAGAAGACUCAAUUUGAGCUAGGAUGUACUGGGACAUAAUCAUUUUGUACAGAUUUUUCACCCAAUGUUUAUAAAAUGGAUGCUAUGAAGCUGGAAGAUAUCACCAAGACUGAUAAAACUACAUGGAAGAAACCUAAUUUUGUUUACAAAUAAUUUAGUGGUGUUUGGUUUGUACUAUCGAUGGAUGUUACAAGGGGUGCCUAAAAGACAACCUGGACUAUACAAAGAAGACCCAUUGGAGGGGAUGCUGGACUAAACCAAUUUUAAAGUGAAAUGGGGGGUCUCCAACUGGGUUUUGAUCAUGUCAUCACACAACAUGGCGCAUUUGCACUCUCAAGAUUACGUUUUAAUAUCCAUCAUGUGCUGCAUUCUUCAUGUCCAAAAACAGAUUAAGAAAGGUGUGUCCUUGAGUGGGUGUGUGUGUGUAGUCAGAUUUGUGAAGAGAGGGAAAGAGGGAGUGCCUGCAUGAGUGUAUGUAGGCAGAUUUGUUAGGACACAGAGAGAGAGAGUGUGUGUGUGCGUGCAGGCAGGUGCUUGCUGUAACUAACAGCCUAGAAGGAUCAGCUUCAGAUGUUAGUUGAUGGAUGGAUUGAUAGUUUGGUUUACAUUCAUUCACAAGCUGCUGAAGGGUAUGUUAUGUGAGAGUAUACAAUAUAGCCUCAAGCUCCUCAACCAGUUCUAGCUCAUGGUCAAGUUAUUAGACGUUGAUCAAUGAUUAUUUUAACGAAUCAGAGACUACAACCUUGAACAUCACCUUUUACGAAGGCUGUGUCUGAAACUACACCCUAUUUCUCCAUAUAGUGUACUUUUGACCAGAGCUAUGUAGGGUUUGUGGUUAAACUUGUUUGUUAUAUGGGGAAUAGGCUGUGAUUUGAGAUCAGCCCGAGGUCACCAUUCAUUGCCAAAUAAAGGGCUGACCAAUCAGCUGCUCUGACCUCUGAACUGGGAGUGUUUACAACACCGGAUGCCAUAGAAUUAAAAUCAUAGACCAUUGAAUGGGAAUGUCCAUUUUAGUAUUCUAGUCAUUCUAGUUCUAUGCUUGAUUACAUCUCUGCUCUCACGUCAUUGGCCUGUGUCAUGGAAACCAAAUUAAACUGCUUAUCGUUGUGACUUGAUGUUUUUAAGGUUUACCCAUAUGUGCCCAGUGCCUACCUGUUGAGGCUUGGCCACCCUGCGGUAUUGAUGCUGGCCAGCAGGUGGUGACACCUCUCAGCUGUCUAGCGACCUUCUGUUGUACAGUACUUUUUGUUCCUACAAGACGAGUUUAGGUCUAAAGUGGACCACUAUGUAUUAUAUGCAGUAAGAUUCCCUGUGAUGUGAAAGUGUUCGGGGCUCAGUUUGCGUGAACUGUGAGGUGGUGGUGUAGUGUGUCCAUGUGUCAAAACAGCUGUGAUUGGAAGGUGUCAGUGACAAGGGUGGACAGAAUCUGCGGGGGGGGGGGGCAUAUUUUCCUCAACUGGUUUUAGAUAAAUGGAAAAGCGUUUCAAAACUUUACAGUUUUAUCCUCAGUUGAAGUCAAAAGUGAAGACAAACGUUAUAAAGGUAUUGAUAUAGGACAUUCCCAGUAGAUUACUCUUGGCCAUAGCAAUGUACAAGUUUACAGACCAGAGGUGUGGGGUAAGUUAGUAGUAGGACCAGGGGUGUGUGUCAUUGUGGUUUAAGUUCUGAAUGUAAUAAGGAGGGAUAAUGAUAUUUUAUACAGUUAUGGAACCCCUACCUCUAGGUUCUUGUGUAAUUCUGGAACGAUUGGAUAGGUAUAAGCAAUAUGGUGAAAAGCUACCACCAUAUUGCUUAUACCUAUCUAGUCCUUUUGAAUCUCGACAAGUGCCCUUGGUUGAGGGGCAAGGGAUCCAAUUUGGAAUGAGGCCUUUUGAACCUCCUCUAGUUGUUCUUUUAUUCUAGUUUGAACUCCUGACCCCGGCUACGGUCAUUGUUUGUUUAGCUUCUCCCUCAUAAACCAAUGAACCCGAGACAGGAUUAUUUCACUCAGAAUGGUGACCUUGGUUAUACUGAGGUAAGGUUGCUACCGGCCAAGGUUUAUAAAUUCACUCUGCUGGAACUCUGAAUAGUUAUCCCUGUGUUCUACACUUUGUGUUCUAGAACCCAUAAUUAAAUUGCAGUAUCUUUUCAUAUGGCCACUCUCUUUUUUCUACCUAAUAGAUUUAAUUACAGCUACACUCUGAACUACUUGACCCAGAGACUAAGAGCUCGUUGUUUGACAUUAAUUGGAGUGCUCUGUUUUAAUUCUGGGAGAAUACACUUCAUUAAACCUACGUGGCCUUUACAUUAGAUUUUGAUCAAAGUCUGUGUAAAUAACAUGUGGCUAACGCUCAUCAGCAUGGAGCUCAGCUGUAAAUGUGUUUAUGGGGAUAGAUGGGAGGUUGUGGUGUUAAAACAGCCAUAUUAUUUAUACAACUAGAUCCAUUUAGUUUGACCCUACAAGACUCCAUCAACCGUUCCCACCAUUUUACCUGAAUCCACAAUAGUGACUCCUGUCAAAACGGAGGAAGAUUCGGAUCAUUUUGUCAUAUUUUAGGGGGGUUGAUUUUACUAACCCACACCCAUGUGUCUUCUGCAUGUACAGUGCAGAUGUAUUUGUACUCUGCUUAUUGCAAGCUUUGAUUUAUAAUUUUUUUCAAUGUCAUGUUUUACAAAGUGUACUGUGUGUAAUAUAUAUAUAUAUAUAUUGAUAAUGUAAAAAAAAAAAAAAAAGGUGUCAGCCUAACUAUUUUUCUUGUCUGAUUUUAAUUAUUCCUGUUCCUAUUUUGUGAAUGAAGUACAUGCCACUAUAAACUAUUAACGUGGGAAAAAAAAUAACAAUAAAUGUUUUUUAAAACCUC